rnacentral:lncRNA from 1 species
GUUGAAUUGAAGCUGCAGUUGCCGGUCUACACGAGAGCCAAGGCAACACCACAUCCAAGACACAUCUGCGACCUACACAGAAGCUUGCAGCAAUGCCAGGUCCUUAACCCACUAACUGAGGCCAGGGAUCAAACCCACAUCCUCACACACCCUAUCAGGUUCCUAACCCACUGAGCCACAAGGAGAACUCCAGCAUUUAGUUUUGUUAUGGAAGAGUCUUAACACUUGCUCAGUCUAGGAGCUCACAUAGGGCUUAACUCAGUGUUUUCCUUUCUUACAGUCACUUCUAUAUAUUUGGGGUCUGUACCCACUGAGUUUUAUCUGGAAAAGGCCCUCCCCAUCCUGAGGGUGAGGAUGCCAGAGCUUCAGUGAGAUAAUGGAUGUGAAACCAAGAACCGUGACCUUCUCCACUCACGUGAGGCUCCAUUCUUUUUCCUUCCUGUCCCAGAGCCUGUGCCCAUUCCCCAGAUCCUGGUCCACUCACCAUCCAUCACGCAAGGCUGGUGCAAUGUCACCAUUGAGUGCAGGAUCUCAUGGGGCACAGAGGACCUGAAGGUGACCUGGGAGGGCAAGGGCCUCCCCAGGCAGCUGGAGGAGAGAGUGACACUGGGACCAGCCCCCAAUUCCUGGAACCUGGCUGUGCACCUGCCCCAGAGCCAGUCCUACACCAACAUCACCUGUGUGGUCAGCAAUGAAGUGGACCAGAAAACUGCCACCUUCGACCUUGGGAAAGUCUGCCACCUUGGGGAAGCCCAUGGUUCACUUGGAGAGGCGAUUGUUGUUUCCCUACGAGGCAUCCUAGGGUCUGUCGUGGUCAUGGUGUUGGUCCUCAGAGGUGGACUGUACCUUUGGAAGGUACACAGGAAGAAGAAGAAGAUGGAGACUGCAAGAGGCAGGUGGCACUUCUCCUUCCUGCCCCAGUUACUUCCCCUCCCCCAAUGGACCCUUGGCGCCCUUCCUCCUGCAUUUGCUGCUCAAGGAAUAUCUGUGCACAGGGGAUGAUGGCAUUGUUCUUGACCUUAGAGUUCAUAGCAGUGGGGGGAGGGUACAAGUUUCCCAGGCCCCAAUUAAAGCUCCACUCUGUGUGUGACUCAGGAGCAGGAUCGCAAGAGGACUACAGGGUCCGUGAUUGUGACAUCUAGAGUGCAGAACUGAGCCAGCAGGAGUCUCUUGAGGUGAGAUGUACCCAGUGAGUACUGGGCACUGUGCCCAACCUGUGCUCUCCUGGUUCCCUCACUGCCCAGGCCUGGGUUUGUCUAACUCACGCAUUGCUGUUUUUAUUCCUCCUGCCACUUUAACUCUUUCUGGACAAUACACUGUUAAACUAAGAGGAUUUAAUGCUGGGACCAGUGUAUAGACCUGUGGAAUUCUCCAGCAUCCUGGCAUAUUGGACAGAUGCCAACCUUUGUUGAGUUGGUGAUGGAUAGGCCUGUAUUCAGAUGUGCUUAGUUUGCCAUAAUGUUCCCUUUCUAUUCCAGGGUCCUACCCAGGACACCACCUUACCUGCAGGUGCUAUGUCUCCUGAACUCUUCUUGGCAGUUUCUCAGACUCAUUUUAAAGAAUACCAGCUAGGAGUUUUUUAAAUGUCCUCAGUGAAGAUUUGUUUGCUGUUUCUCUCAUGAUUAAACUGGAAUUCUUUUUGAAGAAAUCCACAGAGGUAAAGUGUCAUUUAAAUCACCUAUCAAGGGUACAUAAUAUCA